AUUUGAAAUCUGGCCUCGGCCCGAGUUGUAAUUUGUAGAGGAAGCUUUUGGUGCGGCACCGACCGAGUCCCCUGGAACGGGGCGCCAUAGAGGGUGAGAGCCCCGUAUGGUUGGACGCCUAUCCUCUGUAAAGCUCCUUCGACGAGUCGAGUAGUUUGGGAAUGCUGCUCAAAAUGGGAGGUAAAUUUCUUCUAAAGCUAAAUACUGGCCAGAGACCGAUAGCGCACAAGUAGAGUGAUCGAAAGAUGAAAAGCACUUUGAAAAGAGGGUUAAAUAGCACGUGAAAUUGUUGAAAGGGAAGCGCUUGUGACCAGACUUGCGCCUCGUCGAUCAUCCGGGGUUCUCCCCGGUGCACUCGGCGGGGCUCAGGCCAGCAUCGGUUUUCGCGGGGGGACAAAGGCACCGGGAACGUAGCUCCUCCGGGAGUGUUAUAGCCCGGGGCGCAAUGCCCUCGCGGGGACCGAGGACCGCGCUUCGGCAAGGAUGCUGGCG
rnacentral:rRNA from 1 species